rnacentral:rRNA from 1 species
UACGGGGGGAGCAAGCGUUGUUCGGAUUUACUGGGCGUAAAGGGCGCGUAGGCGGCCACGACAAGUCAGCUGUGAAAUCUCCGGGCUUAACCCGGAACGGUCAGCUGAUACUGUCGGGCUAGAGUGCAGAAGGGGCAACUGGAAUUCUCGGUGUAGCGGUGAAAUGCGUAGAUAUCGAGAGGAACACCUGCGGCGAAGGCGGGUUGCAGGGCUGACACUGACGCUGGGGCGCGAAAGCCAGGGGAGCAAACGGG